rnacentral:misc_RNA from 1 species
UCGUUCUCGUGCUCUGUGGUCCUUCGACCGCUGUCCUCACAAGUAGACUCACCAUUCAUGAGUGUGGUGGGAUGCUUUGGAUGGCUUGGUCGUUGCGCUAGCUGGCGCAUGAGUUGUGAUGGACCUGUGACUGCCGGGAGGCCCCCCGCCCUAGUGCGGCUGACUCUCGGCGCCAGUGUCCCCUCAGUUGUGCGGGCGUUCCGCUCGUGCUCCUUACGAGUGCUUGCAUGAUUGUACCCAUGCCAUGGGAAGUGGCUUUUGCUACACGUUGGAUACGUUGCGUCCACCUUUUCGGUGUCACGCAUCGGCACUAGAGCACUUGUGGCGUUGCCUUGUGGGAAGGCCUCAUUCGGCUUGCACCACCUAGGCCACCUCGCUUGUGCUCUUGGUCUCGGAUGGAGCUCACGCUAUAGGAUGGGGCUGCUUCGGCGUCCCAUUCCUUUUGAAGUCGGAACCUUCGAAACAAAGACAACUGGUCCGGUUGAUGCCCUGAGCGGAA